rnacentral:lncRNA from 1 species
UCUUCACCUCAUCUAAAUGACUCCCUUUCAUCUGCUCCGCCGCAGCACCCCAAUUCAACGGAUCCGCCGCCACCGUCACUUUAGUCUUCUCUACUACGCCGCACAACAACAUCGCUUCGAUUUUGCCGUUUUGGUGAACUGAUCCGUUGAUCUGAUCCAUUGGUUUUUGAUAAAUAGGAACAGAUCUUUUGAAUUGUUGGUGAAGGAUGAAAGAGAGGAGAGCUUUUGAAUUGUUGGUGAAGGAGUUUGGUUUUGUGUUCCUGAGGAGAAGAGAAUGAGGAGAGUGGUUUAUAUAAGGACACGAUGUGGUAGUGUUUGAUGUUAGGUAAGUACAAGAGAACAAGUUUUUUAUUUUAUUAUGUAAUAAUAAUAAUAAUAAAAACAUUAACUGAAAAUGAGAAUUGAGGGGGUGGGUGGAGAGUUUCAUGAUGACCGUUGGAUGGCUUAUGAUCAUCUAACGGUUGAGGAUAGAGAACGUGAUUUUGGUUUGAGCCGCAAAAAGUCUAUUUGGAAAAGGUGGUCGUGGCUGGUGGGUGAAGGGAAAUAGCGUUUUGCGGUUGGUGAGAGUUUACGAGUGAUUAUGGUUUGGGAGUAGGUGUGCAAAAACGUAGUACUAGUAGAGUCAAUUUCAACGUCCAUACCGAAUAAGAGCAUAUUUUAAUAUUUUUUUUUUCUGAAUAGUUAAGGACUUUGAUCCUAAUUAUAUGUCCAAUGGUGUUACUACUAUGAAGUCCUUAGAAUUUUUUUUUUUUAAGAAAUUAAAAAUUAUGAAAGUUGCAAAACAUUAAAAUUGAAAAUUCAUUUAUUGAAUGAUUAAAUGCAAACAUACAAUAAUUAUUCAUCUUCAUCAUUACCAAACUUGUUCCAAAUAUUUUCUACCAAAUCAUUUUUCAAUCGUUCAUGUAACUGCCUAUUUCAUUGUAGGACUGGUUCCUGAUACAUUAAUACAUAUGUGUGGAUAUCUCUCACAUCAGUGUAUCCUUUUCAAUUUGUUUAUAAAAAUUAGCGCAUAAAGUUCAACUUUAAUAAACUUUAGGCAAUGCUUGCCUCUAAGAGAUCAAUGUAAGAGAAUCAAUUUACCAUGUAAGAGAAAACAUUUUUUUUGUCCAAGAUAGCCGUUCAGAAGUUGUUCAUCCAGAAUUUUUCUAUUACAUGUGAAUCUAAGAAAUCACAAACUUGAAAACUUGGUAUAAUAUUUAACAUUUUACCAAAAAAAAAAAAACCAUUCCUUGAGACAAUCCAUCAAUGGAUCAAUAAUCUUACCUUCACACAUUGCAGUGAACACCUUAUCAAUUUGUUUAUCCUUUUCAAUUUGUUUAUAAAAAUUAGCGCAUAAAGUUCAACUUUAAUAAACUUUAGGCAAUGCUUGCCUCUAAGAGAUCAAUGUAAGAGAAUCAAUUUACCAUGUAAGAGAAAACAUUUUUUUUGUCCAAAACAUAAAACAAAACAUAAAACAUAAACCAAAAACUAAAACAAAAGCUAGAAACAUUCUAAGAGUUUUAGGAGGAGAAAACACUCUACCAAUAUAUGCCGCCACCAGCCCCGGUGCAUAUAUUGGUAGAGUCUAGUAGGAGUCAUAGGAGGAGGCGUCAUAGAGUUCCAAUUAAAGAGAAUUGGUCACAAGAAGAAGACAUAUCGUUAUGGAAGAAUGAAAAAGGAAAAUACAAGAAAAGGUUCUUGACAAGUGAGACGUGGAGUUGUAUCAGAGAGAAGCACCUAUUAUGUUCUUGGUCUUCGGUUGUGUGGUUCAAACAUGCUACCCCGAAGUACUCCUUUGUGACUUGGAUGGCGAUGCGGGGUAGACUAUCGACGGGAGAUUGGAACAUUAAUGUUGAUGCAUCAUGUGUUCUGUGCCAAGAACCAUUGGAGACUGCAGAUCAUUUGUUUUUCAAGUGCCCUUACUCAGCGCAUAUUUGGGAAGCCUUAAUGAAAGGGGUGAUGGAGAGUCAAUUCACUAUGGAGUGGGAAACGAUAACUAGUCUUCUCAUGGAGGGUUCAAACUGGAGUGAGGUUAAAAUCUUUGUAUCAAGAUACAUACUGCAGUCGACAGUUCAUGCUAUUUGGAUGGAAAGGAACCGAAGGAAACACAAUGAACUCCCGUCUCCAAGUGUGGUAUUGACUAAGAGACUGGACAAGAACAUGAGAAACAGAUUCACCACUUUGCAAAGAAGAGGAGAUAAGGAGUUGGCUGAAGGAAUGACAUUUUGGUUUGGCUCUAGAUAGACUUGAAAUUCUUUGAGUUCAUAGAUUAAAAAAGGAGGAGAGGUUUAUAAUCUUUAGCUUUGGUCACACAUGAUGUAAAACAGUCUUUUUUUCUUUGAAUUAAAUUUAACAUUCAAUUCAAAAAAAAAGUGAAACCUCUAUAAAUUAAUAAUGUUUGGACAAAGCCAAAAUUAUAAUUUUUUAUUAAUUUAAAAAGAUAUUAAUUUAUCGAUAUACUAAUUGAACCAAAAGCUCAAUUUAGAACUAUAAAAUUAUAUUAUUUUAUAGAGAUUUUUAGUGUAUAUUAAUUUAUAGAGCAUUAGUUUAAAGAGGUUAUACUGUAUAUAAGAAUGCAUCAUCAUAGCAAAAUCAAAAGCAAAAGGAAUAAAAUUGAGAAAGCUGUUUUAAAAAGACUAGAAGCGCCAUAUUUUGUUCACUCUCUAUAUUGUAAGUAUAGCAGAGUCCAAUACAUAAUAAAAAUCAUUCAAACUUGAACACAAGGUGGCAUGUAUUAGAAGCCUUGAGCACACCAUCCAAUUUUUUGCGCGUCCUACGUCUCUGUUUCAACUUGUCAAGCUGGCCCGGUUCAAUGGGACCUGUAGAGAAAGUCGCAUUCUUCAACCCUCUUGCAUUCUUUAGAAGAUAUGUAGCCACUUCUUCUUCCUUUUCUCCUUUCCAAUCGUAUCUUCUCCACACAAAUGUCUCUAGAUGUGACAACAAACAUUCAGGGACAGACUUUGGCUUAUUCCAUUCCCAGCCGAGAACAUGAUAGUCAGGAUUAAUCCUAUAUUUCUGUAACCAACGUGAAAAAGAGUAGUAGUCAAUGUAUAUAUCAUCAGUAUUAGACCAUCAAAAAUAGCUAGCUGAAUAAUAAAACAAUAAAAUUUCUUACACCAACGAGCUUCAGGACUUGUAGUUUCGGUGAAUGUUCGAGCAUCCACGUAAGUAGAUCAUACCAGCCUGGUUCAUGCGUAUAUAUCUGUAGAUACACCAGUUGAUAGAAGAUACAUCCAGUAGGAGGAUAUAUAGUCUAUCCAUGAGACGAAAUUAAUAACUUAUACAAAUAAUGAGAUAACCAAAAAAAAAUGGAACAUAAAAAAGUUACCAUCGAAGUUGAUACAUUCAAGACAAGACGUCUGACUGAAACGAGAGAUUCACUGAUUACAUUAGAAACUCUACCAAUAUAUGCCGCCACCAGCCCCGGUGCAUUCAGAGAAAACUGUGGACAUCCUAAGUAUCCAAUCUCUAAGUAUUUCAAAGAAGGAGUAUCUAUCACAUAUCCAACGAACUCGUCCUCAUCAUUGUCAUCAUAAAUCCUUAAUCUCUGCAAAGAAGGGACUUUGAUAGUGAAAAAUUUCACACUGUGUUCACAAGAUCGUUCCACAACGAGUUCUUCAAGUCUAGGACAGCCAGAUAAAAGGUUACAGAUAGAUUCAUCGUUUGUGUAGAACGCAUGAAUAAGAUGCAGCGUUUUAAGAGACUUCAUCGAACCCGGUGCAGGGAUAUCUACAAGAAUCAGACUUCCGAGUUUCAAAGUCACUAGUGUAUCACAAGUACACAAGCUACUCGUAAAUAUGAACUCGUCGACCUCGUAUGGAUAGAUGAGAAAUUCGAGUACCAAUGUACGCAAAUGUAGAGCAAACGCUGUUUUAAUCCAAUGUACAACAUCUACUGCAUCAGCUUUAUCUGAUCCAAAGCUGAGAUGAAAACUAUCUAGAACCUCAGGUUCAUAUGAAAGGAGAGACUUGUACACAGUCUCUGAAAAUGUUUGGUGUUCACUCUGGUAGUCCUCAGAAUUAAACUUCAGUUUUGGCACCGACUUCCAACGAGACUGCCAUUCUUUAGACAAGACACUCGUUGACACGACAGUUUUUAUUGGAACUAAAGAAAGGAUUUUCAGAAUCAAAUUUUCAUCCAGCUGACCGAUAUUCAUCUCUUCAGCCAUGACACUUCUCUUUGGAAAAAAAUUUACUACAAAAAAAAAAAUUCAGAGAGAAAAAUAUAUUGAUUUAAGCGUUUCAGUUGGUAUCAAAAUUCAAAACUCUUUAAACAAAGAAAUAUACCUUUUUCAAUGGUUGUUGCUAGUAAAAUCCUUCAGAUUAAUGCACUGCUAUUUGAAGAUAUUUUUACCCAAAAAUUGGCUUGCACAAAUCAAAUCUAAACAAGUAAAAGACUCCAAAUAUUAAGAUUUCAUGUUGUCAAUUGCAGAUUUUUUUUUUCAGUUGGUGGUCUCUGGACAUAUAACAUAUUUAAGACGAACCAUCGGUAUCUAAGCAGAGAAAAAAUCGGAAAAAUCAUUCAUGGCUCUGAUACCAUAAAAAAAACUUAAAAAGGAUGAAAAGAUUUGAAGAAAAUUAUUUAGGAUUUUCUUUGUAUUUAUUUAGUUAGAUUCGAGUAAAUCGUUAUAUAUAUAUAAGUACAAAGAGGAUAUAUGUCAAUGCCAACUCAAGAUUCAUGAUCCGAGAGUAAACCAUAUCUGUUUGCAAUCUUCGUUUGAUGACGUGUUUUACUCGUACUCGUUAUACUAGUUUUGUGUGGAUAAGAUGUUAUACUUUUGGUCAAUGUAACCGUUGUAGAUUUUAAAGAAAAUAAUCUAAUUUUACAUUCUUAUUUAUAUAGUUAGAUUCGAGUAUAUCGAUUUAUUUACAAAACAAUAUAGAAAGAUGACAUGUGUCAAUUCCAAUUCAAAGUUUAUAAUUCAAGAGUAAACCAUAAAUAUUUUGAAAUAUGUGUUUGAUGAGGUGUUUUUGUCGUACUCGUUGUACUAGUUUUGUAUGGAUAAAAUUGUACUUUUGGUCAAUAUAACCAUUAUUAAUGUUUAUUGGGCUUUUAUUUUUUUGGUUAACCCACUUUGCAUUUCUGAUGUUGAAUUAGAAUUUCUUGAUAAAGUGGAGGCUUUUGGUUAUAGUGUUAUUAUAAAAUUUCACAUUCAAAGUGGGUGGAUAAUUCACCCCCAGUUUGAAGCAUAAAGAGAUGAACAUGUGAGACUGUGUGGAUUGUCCUUUUUAGACCAUAGAAUGAUACGGAGCCAAGAAAUAUACAUAAACCAUCAUCAAUAGAUCUCAUUGCUUCCUACAUCAUGUCCAGUUAUUAUGGACUCCAAAUGUUGAGUCUAAAUCUGAAGAGAAGUAGAGUUUCAUUUUCACCAUACUUUUUAUACAAAGAAGUACUUUUUCUAGAGAGAAAAGUCUUAUAUCAAAAGAUGAUGCAUUUUAUGACAAACAAAAAUUGAUGGAAACUUGUAUAUAUCUUUGAUGUGAUAUAUUGAAGAUUUCCUGCUUAGCUUCAAAAGUAGGUAGGAUCCGAGAAGAGGUCAUCCUUAUUCUUAAGAAUUACUUGAUUGAGCUUUUGAACUUUUGAUCAAUGUAGUUGUUGUUGAGUUUGUGUGAGUCAUUAACUUGUUCGAGUUUUGUUUUUUUUAGUUCUCCUUUUUAUGUUGAUUUAAAUAUUUUUGAUUGACUAGAGACCAUUCUUUUUUUUGAAUAAAUGUUAAAUUUUAUUCAUCCAAAAAACUGUUUUACAUAUGAUGUAACUAUGAGUUAGAAUGAUAAAGAAAGUAUAAACUCCUCUUUACAUAUCAUCUUGUUCCAAACCAAAUUCUAAGGCCCUCCUCCAUCUUUUGAUCACCCUGGCGCCUAAUGGUAGAUAAUCUGUUCGUCACAGUCUUAUCAAUUGUCUUUAUCAACAGACUAUAUGGAUGUUGCUGCUCUCCAUGCCUUCUCUUAUUUCUUUCCCGUUUAAACUAGAUCACGUGCUGGUCAAACGUACCGAUUUUCCGAAGAACAUUUCUGCAUGUCCAUGUUUGAUCUAUAUGGGAGAAAAUACAACCUCUGGUUCUUGCUUUGAAUUCGUCCAACCAUUCCUACUUGGAGGAAUAUGAGUCAGGUUCACGGUCUCGAAGUCCUCCUGUAGUCUAUGGAACAAUUCAAUUUUCGACGCGAAUGCUGGCCAAUCCAUCGGGUUCCCAGUCAUAUCCAAUAGAUCUAAUCAGUUUGUCUGGAACCGGAUCGAGGUUAUCCUCAUGUCUCUCAUGCAUGGAGUUGCCCAUAAUAAACUUUCCAUCUCUGAGAGGCUUCUGUUGCACACCCGUAAUCCGAAAGAUUCGAACCAAUUUGAUCUUUAAAAACCCACCCUAAGCCACUACAUUGCUAUUAUCAAUCAAUGAAGUAUCAAUUUGGCAGGUACAUAUCGAAAUAUCCAAGGGGGCACUGUCUGAACCUCUGAAGUAGGAGGGUCCUCAUGAUCCUUGUCCUCUUCCUCUUUUUCGUUAGCUUUUCUCCAAGAUUCCGCUUAAAUGGAUGCAAGUUGAAGAGUGUCAAUUGGGAAAACAUAGACUACAUGUAUUUUACUUAUGGACUCGAACCAACCCGAACAUGAAAGGGAUCAAACCGAACUGAAAAUUAUUAAAUACCUAGUCGGACUACCCGAUAUGCACUAACCAAACCAGACCCCAAGAUCCGAAUGUCCAAAUCUAUCUACUUCUCCAAAUUAAAGUUUAAAAUAAAUUAUAUUUUUGAUUAAUUUUGUUAUUUGCAUUUAGGUUGAUUGUUAUAUUAGAUAUGUAAACAUAUUUUAUCAAUAUUAUGUAUAACUCAAUACAUAUUGUUGUAAGAACAAAACAGAAAAGAUCUAAAAUGUUCUAUUCAAAUUAAAAUAAAUGAUUAUAAAGAUAAUAAUCUGAACUCUUAUGCAUAUAUAUAUAUAUAUAUAUAUAUAUAUACAAGAACUAAAUUGUAACAUUAAUUAAUAAUUUUUUGCUAAUUAAUAUGUUUCGAGUCAUCUCAUAAUCUAUAUAUAGAAAAAUAAUUAAAAUAUUAUUAUAAAAUAGUAUAUUAAUAUUUUAGUUAGAUCUUUGAUUUUGGAUAUAAGAAACUGGAUUAAUUUAGUUACUAAAUUUAUGAGUAUAUUUAGUUAUAUAUGUAUAUAUAUUCUUGCAAUUUUGAAUUAAAGUAUAAUUAUUUUUUAUUUUAAUUAAGACAAAUCAAAUUAUUUUUAUUUAUCGUAUUAGUUUUAUUUAUCGUAUUAGUUUAGUUCUUCAUUUAUGUACAAGUAUAUUUUGUAAUAUUAUAAUAAUUUGAUAUAUGCUGAUUUUUUUAAAGAAAUUAUUAGAGAAAAAUGAUCUGUGAUCAAUAUAACAUUUCAUAAAUGAACAUUACUGAUAAAAUUUUGAAAUCUAAUGAGCACAUAUCGGUAUUUACAAUAAUGAAAAUACUUCAUAAUUCAAAGUAAUUAUAUAAAUUAGAUUUAUUAAAAGGUAAAGUGAAAAUUAAUUUAAAAUAAGCUAAAACAUGAGAAUUCCGAUUUGUUAGGGUAAUUUUACUAGGGUAUAUUAGGUUCUACAAACAUAAAGCAAAAUAAAUCAGACUAAUAUUAGGCUAAAAGUAAAAUUUAAUAUUUUAUAAUAUUUUGUUCACUAAAGGUAUCUAUAUUCUAGAGUUGUGCUAUUUUAAAAUAUUUAUAUAAUUAUUAGAUAAAAAUAUGCUAAUAGUAAAAACUGUUUUAGUUUCCUUUUUUAAUAUUAAAAGAAAUACCAUAUUUUAUUGUUGUGAUUGUUUAUACAAAUCAUAUUAUAUACGUUAAUUAAAUUUUGUAGAUACUAUUUUAUUUUUUUUAAAUUAUAAUAUAUUUAUAGUCAACUAAAAAGUAUGCAAAAAAUAAAUAAAACAUCUCCAUAUUACUAUUUAUAAUUCAUUUUUAGUCAAUUAAAAUAUUUUAAUUUUCUGUUUUUUGAUUAUUUUAUGUAAUCUUGUAAGAAAAUAUAUAGAUAAAUAGAAAAUAUUUUUAUUACUUUGAAAAUAUAUUUUAAAAUGCUUAAAAAUAUGUUUUAAAGGGAAGAUAUUUAUUUUCUUAAUAUCAAGACUAUUUUUAUUUAUCUUCUUUUUUUUAUGAAAUCACUUAUAUAUAAAUAUAUUCUCGUUUCAUUUAAGAAAAAGAAAGAUAUAAACAAAAUAUUUUUAUUAUUUUGGAAUAUAUAUAUAUAUAUAUGUUGCUUAAAAUUAUUUUUAAUAUAUCUUAAUGUUUUUCUUAAUAUCAAGAUUGUUUUUGUGAUUUUUCUUUUUAUUAAAUCAAAUAUAUAUAUAUAUAUAUAUAUGUAUUAAAAAUUUUAUAAAUGAUUCUGUUUUAUUAUAUAUGUUUUUUUUUAAAGAAAAGGAAUGUAAAUUUAAAAUUUAUGAAAUAAAUUUUUGUUGUGAUGGUAUUUAGAUACAAUAUUUUUCAAUCCAUUAAGAGUAUCUUUUCAUCGUAAUAAUUUACGUGAGCACGACACAUAUGAAACUGUUUUCUCUAAUAAUAUUAUAGAGAUAUUUUGAUAAUGUUGUCAAUCGUCAAUAUAAUAUACUCUUCGUUUCAUUUUAAUUGAUGUUUAGAAAAAAAAAUUAUUUCAGAUUAGAUAAUGUUUUCAAUUAUUUUGCAAGAAGUUAAUGUGAUUUUUUGUUUGUGAUUAAUCAUAAAACAUAAAUAUUCAAUUUAUUUCAAAAAAAUGGAAAUAAAAUAUAUAAGAAUGCAUCAUCAUUGCAAAAUCAAAAGCAAAAGGAAUAAAUUUGAGAAAACUGUUUUAAAAGUCUAAAACGAUAACCGAUUAAGCUAGAAGCGCCAUAUUUUGUUCACUCUCUAUAUUGUAAGUAUAGCAGAGUCCAAUACAUAAUUAAAAUCAUUCAAACUUGAACACAAGGUGGCAUGUAUUAGAAGCCUUGAGCACACCAUCCAAUUUUUUGCGUGUCCUACGUCUCUGUUUCAACUUGUCAAGCUGGCCCGGUUCAAUGGGACCUGUAGAGAAAGUCGCAUUCUUCAACCCUCUUGCAUUCUUUAGAAGAUAUGUAGCCACUUCUUCUUCCUUUUCUCCUUUCCAAUCGUAUCUUCUCCACACAAAUGUCUCUAGAUGUGACAACAAACAUUCAGGGACAGACUUUGGCUUAUUCCAUUCCCAGCGGAGAACAUGAUAGUCAGGAUUAAUCCUAUAUUUCUGUAACCAACGUGAAAAAAGAGUAGUAGUCAAUGUAUAUAUCAUCAGUAUUAGACCAUCAAAAAUAGCUAGCUGAAUAAUAAAACAACAAAAUUUCUUACACCAACGAGCUUCAGGACUUGUAGUUUCGGUGAAUGAUCGAGCAUCCACGUAAGUAGAUCAUACCAGCCUGGUUCAUGCGUAUAUAUCUGUAGAUACACCAGUUGAUAGAAGAUACAUCCAGUAGGAGGAUAUAUAGUCUAUCCAUGAGACGAAAUUAAUAACUUAUACAAAUAAUGAGAUAACCAAUAAAAAAUGGAACAUAAAAAAGUUACCAUCGAAGUUGAUACAUUCAAGACAAGACGUCUGACUGAAACGAGAGAUUCACUGAUUACAUUAGAAACUCUACCAAUAUAUGCCGCCACCAGCCCCGGUGCAUUCAGAGAAAACUGUGGACAUCCUAAGUAUCCAAUCUCUAAGUAUUUCAAAGAAGGAGUAUCUAUCACAUAUCCAACGAACUCGUCCUCGUCAUUGUCAUCAUAAAUCCUUAAUCUCUGCAAAGAAGGGACUUUGAUAGUAAAAAAUUUCACACUGUGUUCAUAAGAUCGUUCCACAACGAGUUCUUCAAGUCUAGGACAGCCAGAUAAAAGGUUGCAGAUAGAUUCAUCGUUUGCGUAGAACGCAUGAAUAAGAUGCAGCGUUUUAAGAGACUUCAUCGAACCCGGUGCAGGGAUAUCUACAAGAAUAAGACUUCCGAGUUUCAAAGUCACUAGUGUAUCACAAGUACACAAGCUACUCGUAAAUAUGAACUCGUCGACCUCGUAUGGAUAGAUGAGAAAUUCGAGUACCAAUGUACGCAAAUGUAGAGCAAACGCUGUUUUAAUCCAAUGUACAACAUCUACUGCAUCAGCUUUAUCUGAUCCAAAGCUGAGAUGAAAACUAUCUAGAACCUCAGGUUCAUAUGAAAGGAGAGACUUGUACACAGUCUCUGAAAAUGUUUGGUGUUCACUCUGGUAGUCCUCAGAAUUAAACUUCAGGUUUGGCACCGACUUCCAACGAGACUGCCAUUCUUUAGACAAGACACUCGUUGACACGACAGUUUUUAUUGGAACUAAAGAAAGGAUUUUCAGAAUCAAAUUUUCAUCCAGCUGACCGAUAUUCAUCUCUUCAGCCAUGACACUUCUCUUUGGAAAAAAAAUUACUACAAAAAAAAAUCAGAGAGAAAAAUAUAUUGAUUUAAGUGUUUCAGUUGGUAUCAAAAUUCAAAACUCUUUAAACAAAGAAAUAUACCUUUUUCAAUGGUUGUUGCUAGUAAAAUCCUUCAGAUUAAUGCACUGCUAUUUGAAGAUAUUUUUACCCAAAAAUUGGCUUGCACAAAUCAAAUCUAAACAAGUAAAAGACUCCAAUUAUUAAGAUUUCAUGUUGUCAAUUACAGAUUUUUUUUUCAGUUGGUGGUCUCUGGACAUAUAACAUAUUUAAGACGAACCAUCGGUAUCUAAGCAGAGAAAAAAUUGGAAAAAUCAUUCAUGGCUCUGAUACCAUAAAAAAAACUUAAAAAGGAUGAAAAGAUUUGAAGAAAAUUAUUUAGGAUUUCUUUGUAUUUAUUUAGUUAGAUUCGAGUAAAUUGUUAUAUAUAUAUAUAAGUACAAAGAGGAUAUAUGUCAAUGCCAACUCAAGAUUCAUGAUCCGAGAGUAAACCAUAUCUGUUUGCAAUCUUCGUUUGAUGACGUGUUUUACUCGUACUCGUUAUACUAGUUUUGUGUGGAUAAGAUGUUAUACUUUUGGUCAAUGUAACCGUUGUAGAUUUUAAAGAAAAUAAUCUAAUUUUACAUUCUUAUUUAUAUAGUUAGAUUCGAGUAUAUCGAUUUAUUUACAAAACAAUAUAGAAAGAUGACAUGUGUCAAUUCCAAUUCAAAGUUUAUAAAUUCAAGAGUAAACCAUAAAUAUUUUGAAAUAUGUGUUUGAUGAGGUGUUUUUGUCGUACUCGUUGUACUAGUUUUGUAUGGAUAAAAUUGUACUUUUGGUCAAUAUAACCAUUAUUAAUGUUUAUUGGGCUUUUAUUUUUUUGGUUAACCCACUUUGCAUUUCUGAUGUUGAAUUAGAAUUUCUUGAUAAAGUGGAGGCUUUUGGUUAUAGUGUUAUUAUAAAAUUUCACAUUCAAAGUGGGUGGAUAAUUCAUCCCCAGUUUGAAGCAUAAAGAGAUAAACAUGUGAGACUGUGUGGAUUGUCCUUUUUAGACCAUGAAAUGAUACGGAGCCAAGAAAUAUACAUAAACCAUCAUCAAUAGAUCCCAUUGCUUCCUACAUCAUGUCCAGUUAUUAUGGACUCCAAAUGUUGAGUCUAAAUCUGAAGAGAAGUAGAGUUUCAUUUUCACCAUACUUUUUAUACAAAGAAGUACUUUUUCUAGAGAGAAAAGUCUUAUAUCAAAAGAUGAUGCAUUUUAUGACAAACAAAAAUUGAUGGAAACUUGUAUAUAUCUUUGAUGUGAUAUAUUGAAGAUUUCCUGCUUAGCUUCAAAAGUAGGUAGGAUCCGAGAAGAGGUCAUCCUUAUUCUUAAGAAUUACUUGAUUGAGCUUUUGAACUUUUGAUCAAUGUAGUUGUUGUUGAGUUUGUGUGAGUCAUUAACUUGUUCGAGUUUUGUUUUUUUUAGUUCUCCUUUUUAUGUUGAUUUAAAUAUUUUUGAUUGACUAGAGGCCAUUCUUUUUUUUGAAUAAAUGUUAAAUUUUAUUCAUCCAAAAAACUGUUUUACAUAUGAUGUAACUAUGAGUUAGAAUGAUAAAGAAAGUAUAAACUCCUCUUUACAUAUCAUCUUGUUCCAAACCAAAUUCUAAGGCCCUCCUCCAUCUUUUGAUCACCCUGGCGCCUAAUGGUAGAUAAUCUGUUCGUCACAGUCUUAUCAAUUGUCUUUAUCAACAGACUAUAUGGAUGUUGCUGCUCUCCAUGCCUUCUCUUAUUUCUUUCCCGUUUAAACUAGAUCACGUGCUGGUCAAACGUACCGAUUUUCCGAAGAACAUUUCUGCAUGUCCAUGUUUGAUCUAUAUGGGAGAAAAUACAACCUCUGGUUCUUGCUUUGAAUCCGUCCAACCAUUCCUACUUGGAGGAAUAUGAGUCAGGUUCACGGUCUCGAAGUCCUCCUGUAGUCUAUGGAACAAUUCAAUUUUCGACGCGAAUGCUGGCCAAUCCAUCGGGUUCGCAGUCAUAUCCAAUAGAUCUAAUCAGUUUGUCUGGAACCGGAUCGAGGUUAUCCUCAUGUCUCUCAUGCAUGGAGUUGCCCAUAAUAAACUUUCCAUCUCUGAGAGGCUUCUGUUGCACACCCGUAAUCCGAAAGAUUCGAACCAAUUUGAUCUUUAAAACCCCACCCUAAGCCACUACAUUGCUAUUAUCAAUCAAUGAAGUAUCAAUUUGGCAGGUACAUAUCGAAAUAUCCAAGGGGGCACUGUCUGAACCUCUGAAGUAGGAGGGUCCUCAUGAUCCUUGUCCUCUUCCUCUUUUUCGUUAGCUUUUCUCCAAGAUUCCGCUUAAAUGGAUGCAAGUUGAAGAGUGUCAAUUGGGAAAACAUAGACUACAUGUAUUUUACUAAUGGACUCGAACCAACCCGAACAUGAAAGGGAUCAAACCGAACUGAAAAUUAUUAAAUACCUAGUCGGACUAGUUAGGAAGAACUGUCUAGGACUCGAAAGAUCCGGACCCGAUAUGCACUAACCAAACCAGACCCCAAGAUCCGAAUGUCCAAAUCUAUCUACUUCUCCAAAUUAAAGUUUAAAAUAAAUUAUUUUUUGAUUAAUUUUGUUAUUUGCAUUUAGGUUGAUUGUUGCAUUAGAUAUGUAAACAUAUUUUAUCAAUAUUAUGUAUAACUCAAUACAUAUUGUUUUAAGAACAAAACAGAAAAGAUCUAAAAUGUUCUAUUCAAAUUAAAAUAAAUGAUUAUAAAGAUAAUAAUCUGAACUCUUAUGCAUAUAUAUAUACAAGAACUAAAUUGUAACAUUAAUUAAUAUUUUUUUUUGCUAAUUAAUAUGUUUCGGGUCAUCUCAUAAUUUAUAUAUAGAAAAAUAAAUAAAAUUUUAUUAUAAAAUAGUAUAUUAAUAUUUUAGUUAGAAAGUCAUCUCAUAAUUUAUAUAUAGAAAAAUAAAUAAAAUAUUAUUAUAAAAUAGUAUAUUAAUAUUUUAGUUAGAUCUUUGAUUUUGGAUAUAAGAAACUGGAUUAAUUUAGUUACUAAUUUUAUGAGUAUAUUUAGUUAUAUAUGUAUAUAUAUUCUUGCAAUUUUGAAUUAAAGUAUAAUUAUUUUUUUAUUUUAAUUAAGACAAAUCAAAUUAUUUUUAUUUAUCGUAUUAGUUUUAUUUAUCGUAUUAGUUUAGUUCUUCAUUUAUGUACAAGUAUAUUUUGUAAUAUUAUAAUAAUUUGAUAUAUGCUGUUUUUUAAAGAAAUUAUUAGAAAAAAAUGAUCUGUGAUCAAUAUAACAUUUCAUAAAUGAACAUUACUGAUAAAAUUUUGAAAUCUAAUGAGCACAUAUCGGUAUUUACAAUAAUGAAAAUACAUCAUAAUUCUAAGUAAUUAUAUAAAUUAGAUUUAUUAAAAGGUAAAGUGAAAAUUAAUUUAAAAUAAGCUAAAACAUGAGAAUUCCGAUUUGUGAGGUUAAUUUUACAAGGUUAUAUUAGGUUCUACAAACAUAAAGCAAAAUAAAUCAGACUAAUAUUAGGCUAAAAGGAAAUUUAAUAUUUUAUAAUAUUUUGUUCACUAAAGGUAUCUAUAUUCUACAGUUGUGCUAUUUUAAAAUAUUUAUAUAAUUAUUAGAUAAAAAUAUGCUAAUAGUAAAAAGUGUUUUAGUUUCCUUUUUUAACAUUAAAAGAAAUACCAAAUUUUAUUUUUGUGAUUGUUUAUACAAAUCAUAUUAUAUACGUUAAUUAAAUUUUGUAGAUACUAUUUUAUUUUGUUUAAAUUAUAAUAUAUUUAUAGUCAACUAAAAAGUAUGCAAAAAAUAAAUAAAACAUCUCCAUAUUACUAUUUAUAAUUCAUUUUUAGUCAAUUAAAAUAUUUUAAUUUUCUGUUAUUUGAUUAUUUUAUGUAAUCUUGUAAGAAAAUAUAUAGAUAUAUAGAAAAUAUUUUUAUUACUUUGAAAAUAUAUUUUAAAAUGCUUAAAAAUAUGUUUUAAAGGGAAGAUAUUUAUUUUCUUAAUAUCAAGACUAUUUUUAUUUAUCUUCUUUUUUUAUGAAAUCACUUAUAUAAAAAUAUAUUCUCGUUUCAUUUAAGAAAAAGAAAGAUAUAAACAAAAUAUUUUUAUUACUUUGGAAUAUAUAUAUAUAUAUAAUGUUGCUUAAAAUUAUUUUUAAUAUAUCUUAAUGUUUUUCUUAAUAUCAAGAUUGUUUUUGUGAAUUUUCCUUUUUAUUAAAUCAAAUAUAUAUAUAUAUGUAUUAAAAAAAUUUAUAAAUGAUUCUGUUUAAUUAUAUCUGUUUUUUUUUAAAAAAAAGAAAAGGAAUGUAAAUUUAAAAUUUAUGAAAUAAAUUUUUGUAGUGAUGGUAUUUAGAUACAAUAUUUUUCAAUCCAUUAAGAGUAUCUUUUCAUCGUAAUAAUUUACGUGAGCACGACACAUAUGAAACUGAUUUCUCUAAUAAGAGCCUCAUUGGUAAUAAACCCUCUAUAGUUGGUAAGGUAGAGUGUGUGUGUUUUGAAAUGUUACUCUGGUUAGCAAAUAUAUAUAUAUCUUCUCAGUUUAGAUAAACUAUUCCAAACCAAAAUAGAUAAAAGAGCAAACCAGCUUACAAACGGAUUCACUUUUUUUUAAUCCUUAGAAUCUGAAUCCAAUUUGAAAAUCCAUCAUAGUCAUUGAAAAUAUAUAAGAAUGCAUCAUCAUAGCAAAAUCAAAAGCAAAAUGAAUAAAAUUGAGAAAGCUGUUUUAAAAGUCUAAAACGAUAACCGAUUAAGCUAGAAGCGUCAUAUUUUGUUCACUCUCUAUAUUGUAAGUAUAACAGAGUCCAAUACAUAAUUAAAAUCAUUCAAACUUAAACACAAGGUGGCAUGUAUUAGAAGCCUUGAGCACACCAUCCAAUUUUUUGCGUGUCCUACGUCUCUGUUUCAACUUGUCAAGCUGGCCCGGUUCAAUGGGACCUGUAGAGAAAGUCGCAUUCUUCAACCCUCUUGCAUUCUUUAGAAGAUAUGUAGCCACUUCUUCUUCCUUUUCUCCUUUCCAAUCGUAUCUUCUCCACACAAAUGUCUCUAGAUGUGACAACAAACAUUCAGGGACAGACUUUGGCUUAUUCCAUUCCCAGCCGAGAACAUGAUAGUCAGGAUUAAUCCUAUAUUUCUGUAACCAACGUGAAAAAGAGUAGUAGUCAAUGUAUAUAUCAUCAGUAUUAGACCAUCAAAAAUAGCUAGCUGAAUAAUAAAACAAUAAAAUUUCUUACACCAACGAGCUUCAGGACUUGUAGUUUCGGUGAAUGUUCGAGCAUCCACGUAAGUAGAUCAUACCAGCCUGGUUCAUGCGUAUAUAUCUGUAGAUUGAUAGAAGAUACAUCCAGUAGGAGGAUAUAUAGUCUAUCCAUGAGACGAAAUUAAUAACUUAUACAAAUAAUGAGAUAACCAAAAAAAAAAAUGGAACAUAAAAAAGUUACCAUCGAAGUUGAUACAUUCAAGACAAGACGUCUGACUGAAACGAGAGAUUCACUGAUUACAUUAGAAACUCUACCAAUAUAUGCCGCCAACAGCCCCGGUGCAUAUAUUGGUAGAGUUUUAAUUAACCAUGUAAGAGAAAACAUUUUUUUUGUCCAAGAUAGCCGUUCAGAAGUUGUUCAUCCAGAAUUUUUCUAUUACAUGUGAAUCUAAAAAAUCACAACAUAGAAUAUAGUAUUGAAAAUAUAUCAAAAAUGUUUUAAACAAGAGUUGAACUGCUACGUUUUCUUAAAUAUUAUAUAGACAAGUCCUAAAGAAUUAAUAUCAACUAAACCUAAUUAGUUUCACCAAUAAUACAUCAUCUUCAUGCGAGAGUUGCUGCGGUAAGGUUUCCUGGGGAUUCAAGAAAAAAAAAUGAAGCCAUACCUAAAGAUGUUCUAAGAGGACAUUUGGUAGUGUAUGUAGCUGAUGAUUACAAGAGAUUGUGAUAAAGAUGUAUAUGCUUAAACAUCCAAUCUUCAAGGCAUUGCUUGAUCAAGCUCAAGAUGCUUAUAUAUGAUUUCAGUUCUGGCCUAUUAAGAUUAUGGAUUCAAUGCGAUGAGAACACUUUCCUUCGAUGUUGUUUGUUGCAGGGCGCUCCUCAGCAUCGAAGGAACUGCACUGGCAUGCACUUGUAAGAAUGGAGAUAUAUUCUUUUGAUUUUGAUUCAUAUCUCUCUGAAUCUAUGUUUCCAGAGAAAAUUAAUGUUCAUUUAGAUAAAGUUGUACACUAAUUAAGUAAAAAUUUGUUCAUAAGUAUGAUCCAUAAUAUGAUAAGUAUAAGCAAGAGUCGCUGAACAUGCAACAUCUACAGACUACAACUAAACUCUGACAAAGAUUGUUUUUUCUCUCACACAACUCAAGAUAGAGAGCACAACAUUUAAGACAUGGUUGCUUCUGUUCUGUCUCAUAUAAAAACUAUUGUUUGAUGCAUCAAAUGAGAAUUACACGUAAUUUUCAUAUAUAUAUAUUAUACAAAGUGACACCAUUGACAUUACACUCAAAUUUCAAACAAGCAAAAGCAACAAAACUGAAGCUGGACAAAACAGAACAGAGCAUAACAGAGGAAGGCUCUCUUAACAUAUGGGAAUGGGAGCUCCGUUCCAUUCCUUGAGACAAUCCAUCAAUGGAUCAAUAAUCUUACCUUCACACAUUGCAGUGAACACCUUAUCAAACUCCUCUCCCGGAGAGACAACCUUUUCUCCGGUCAGCAACUUCGUCCCGAGCUCUUCCCUCACAAACUUAUAUAAUGGAUAAGACCGACAUUCCUUAAUCCUGUUCGGAAUCGCCGCCGUUCCAUUACCGUAAGCCUCUCUAGUCGCAUCCACUUCCUUAGGAAGCACCAUCUUAAGCUCCUCCUCAAAAGCUCCAAUCUUUUGAAAGAUCGAAGUCACUGCGUUCUUCUCAGUCUCACCAUUGGAUAACGCGUGAUCAACGAUAACUUGUCUUAGCUUCUGCAUCAAUGGGUACGUAGCGCUACAAGGAUCGUCAACGUAUGUAAACACUUGUUCACGAUCAACGACCUUAAGCAAGUCUUUCUCACAGAACCGCGAUGGAUGCAACUCCCCGUUGACUCCAGUAGUCAACACUUUCUUCGCCACUUGAGAAACCGUGUUCUUCACGGUCUGUCUCAGAUUCUCCUCGAGAUGUCUCAAAUCAACAGCUUGACAAAUCGCUACGAGGAACGUUGUAGACAUGAGCUUGAGAAUGUCAACAGCUUCUGACGUCUUACGAGACGAGAUGAGUCCUAAAGAGUUAACAUCUUGGUUAUGCUGCUCAGCUGAUUGAACAUGGGUUGUAACCGGAUUCGCAAGGUACUGAAGCUCAGAGCAGUAAGAAGCCAUAGCGAUCUCCGCUCCUUUGAAUCCAUAAUCCAAGCUUGGGUUGUUGGAAGCCGUUAGAUUCGAAGGAAGACCGUUGUUGUAGAAGUCGUUAACAAGCUCCGAGAACUGAGCGAACAUGAGCUUCCCAAUAGCUGCAACCGCUAAACGUGUGUUGUCCAUAGAGACUCCUAUCGGAGUCCCCUGGAAGUUACCACCGUGAAUCGCCUUGUUCCUCGAAACGUCGAUUAACGGAUUGUCGUUAACGGAGUUGAUCUCACGCUCGAUUGACUUCGUGGCGUGACGGAUCACUUCGAUCUGAGGGCCGAGCCACUGAGGAGACGUGCGGAGCGCGUAACGGUCUUGUUUCGGUUUUUGUAACGGAUCCAUCUCGUGGAGCUUUGCCGCUAGCUUCAUGUACGAGCUUCCGUCGAGGAUGUGCUCCAUGAUCGCCGCCGCCUCGAUUUGUCCGGGGUGGUGUUUGAGUCGGUGAGUCAAAUGAUCGGUGAACUCCGGCUUCCCGCUCAUCACCUCCGCGAAGAUCGCGGAUAAAACCUCGGCGAGGACCGAUUGAACAUUCGCUUCGAAGAGAACCAUCGACGCCAUGCCGGAUCCAACCGCCGUGCCGUUGACGAGCGCUAAGCCUUCCUUAGGCUGUAGAUCGAAGAAUCCGGAAGUGAUUCCGGCUUUCUUGAAGGCUUCUUCGGCGGUUAGGGAUUCACCGUUGGGACCGGUGGCUUUGGAGUUCGGACGGCCGGUGAGGAGACCUGCGAUGUAGGAGAGGGGGACGAGAUCGCCGGAGGCGGUUAUGGUUCCACGGAGGGGGAGAGACGGAGAGAUGUUGUGGUUGAGGAGGCUGGUGAUCGCUUCGAGGAUUUCGAAUCGGAUCCCGGAGUAUCCUUGGAGGAGUGUGUUGACUCGGACGAGCAUGGCGGCUCUCGUGGCGGAUUCCGGUAGCGUGUGACAUGUCUCCUUCGUGUUCCCGAAGAUUCCGGCGUUCCUGAAACGUAACGAACAAUAUUUCAUUAAAAACUAUAUAAUAAAAUAAACUAAAGUCGGACCUCGACCCGACCCGAUAUACUGACCCGGGGUGUUUCCCAUGCAACAAAAAUCCUCGUGAGUAUAUUCAGUGACAAUUAGACCGCACCAAACAAUCACUGCCAAUUUUCCACUUAAUCCACUAAAUUAUAAUAUCUCUAAUUCCAACCCCAAACUUUGAAUUUUUAAAAAAUUAGAAAAUAAAAUAAUGUUUGAUCACAUUCCUUGCAUGCUCUAGUCAAUUUUACUCACAAUCUUAAAUUUUAAUUAAUUACCUGAUGAGUUCGGUUUGCAAAGCGGUGCCGUUUUUUGUUCUCCGGUGAGAGGUAGCUCCAAACCCGGUGGUUACACCGUAACUGUCAGUACCUUUACCCAUACUCUCCAUGACCCAAUCGCUGCUAGCUUUCACGCCGGCUCUUGAAGCCUCCGCUAGCUCAACCUUAACGCCACCGCCUACGUUCGAGAUCGCAGCGACUUGUCCGAUCGUCAGUGUUUCUCCGCCGAGAUUCACCACCGGUUUACGGUAAUCCUCAACCAUCCUCUUCACCUCAUCCAAAUGACUCCCUUUCAUCUGCUCCGCCGCAGCACCCCAAUUCAACGGAUCCGCCGCCACCGUCACUUUAGUCUUCUCUAGUCCGCCGCACAACAACAUGGCUUCGGUUUUGCCGUUUUGGUGAACUGAUCCGUUGAUCUGAUCCAUUGGUUUUUGAGUUAGUGUUUGAUAAAUAGGAACAGAUCUUUUGAAUUGUUGGUGAAGGAUGAAAGAGAGGAGAGCUUUUGAAAUGUUGGUGAAGG